GCCUCUGAGGAUGAAUAGAAAAAUACUUUCCGAGAUGUUCCAUGCGGAAAAUUUUUGGAGACCUGAACUGAAGAGGC